rnacentral:rRNA from 1 species
UGAAGAGGGAAACAACCCAGACCGCCAGCUAAGGUCCCAAAGUCAUGGUUAAGUGGGAAACGAUGUGGGAAGGCCCAGACAGCCAGGAUGUUGGCUUAGAAGCAGCCAUCAUUUAAAGAAAGCGUAAUAGCUCACUGGUCGAGUCGGCCUGCGCGGAAGAUGUAACGGGGCUAAACCAUGCACCGAAGCUGCGGCAGCGACGCUUAUGCGUUGUUGGGUAGGGGAGCGUUCUGUAAGCCUGCGAAGGUGUGCUGUGAGGCAUGCUGGAGGUAUCAGAAGUGCGAAUGCUGACAUAAGUAACGAUAAAGCGGGUGAAAAGCCCGCUCGCCGGAAGACCAAGGGUUCCUGUCCAACGUUAAUCGGGGCAGGGUGAGUCGACCCCUAAGGCGAGGCCGAAAGGCGUAGUCGAUGGGAAACAGGUUAAUAUUCCUGUACUUGGUGUUACUGCGAAGGGGGGACGGAGAAGGCUAUGUUGGCCGGGCGACGGUUGUCCCGGUUUAAGCGUGUAGGCUGGUUUUCCAGGCAAAUCCGGAAAAUCAAGGCUGAGGCGUGAUGACGAGGCACUACGGUGCUGAAGCAACAAAUGCCCUGCUUCCAGGAAAAGCCUCUAAGCAUCAGGUAACAUCAAAUCGUACCCCAAACCGACACAGGUGGUCAGGUAGAGAAUACCAAGGCGCUUGAGAGAACUCGGGUGAAGGAACUAGGCAAAAUGGUGCCGUAACUUCGGGAGAAGGCACGCUGAUAUGUAGGUGAAGUCCCUCGCGGAUGGAGCUGAAAUCAGUCGAAGAUACCAGCUGGCUGCAACUGUUUAUUAAAAACACAGCACUGUGCAAACACGAAAGUGGACGUAUACGGUGUGACGCCUGCCCGGUGCCGGAAGGUUAAUUGAUGGGGUCAGCGCAAGCGAAGCUCUUGAUCGAAGCCCCGGUAAACGGCGGCCGUAACUAUAACGGUCCUAAGGUAGCGAAAUUCCUUGUCGGGUAAGUUCCGACCUGCACGAAUGGCGUAAUGAUGGCCAGGCUGUCUCCACCCGAGACUCAGUGAAAUUGAACUCGCUGUGAAGAUGCAGUGUACCCGCGGCAAGACGGAAAGACCCCGUGAACCUUUACUAUAGCUUGACACUGAACAUUGAGCCUUGAUGUGUAGGAUAGGUGGGAGGCUUUGAAGUGUGGACGCCAGUCUGCAUGGAGCCGACCUUGAAAUACCACCCUUUAAUGUUUGAUGUUCUAACGUUGACCCGUAAUCCGGGUUGCGGACAGUGUCUGGUGGGUAGUUUGACUGGGGCGGUCUCCUCCUAAAGAGUAACGGAGGAGCACGAAGGUUGGCUAAUCCUGGUCGGACAUCAGGAGGUUAGUGCAAUGGCAUAAGCCAGCUUGACUGCGAGCGUGACGGCGCGAGCAGGUGCGAAAGCAGGUCAUAGUGAUCCGGUGGUUCUGAAUGGAAGGGCCAUCGCUCAACGGAUAAAAGGUACUCCGGGGAUAACAGGCUGAUACCGCCCAAGAGUUCAUAUCGACGGCGGUGUUUGGCACCUCGAUGUCGGCUCAUCACAUCCUGGGGCUGAAGUAGGUCCCAAGGGUAUGGCUGUUCGCCAUUUAAAGUGGUACGCGAGCUGGGUUUAGAACGUCGUGAGACAGUUCGGUCCCUAUCUGCCGUGGGCGCUGGAGAACUGAGGGGGGCUGCUCCUAGUACGAGAGGACCGGAGUGGACGCAUCACUGGUGUUCGGGUUGUCAUGCCAAU